UACAGAGGUCUCAAGCGUUGUUCGGAUUCAUUGGGCGUAAAGAGCGCGUAGGCGGCCAGAUAAGUCCGGUGUGAAAGUCAAAGGCUCAACCUUUGAAUGCCGCUGGAAACUGUCUGGCUAGAGUCCGGAAGGGGCGAGUGGAAUUCCUGGUGUAGCGGUGAAAUGCGCAGAUAUCAGGAAGAACACCAAUGGCGAAGGCAGCUCUCUGGGACGGUACUGACGCUGAGACGCGAAAGCGUGGGGAGCGAACAGG
rnacentral:rRNA from 1 species